rnacentral:misc_RNA from 1 species
AACGCACAUUGCGCCUCCUAGCAUUCCAGGGGGCAUGCCUGUUCGAGGGUCAUUUAAAAGCCUUCAGGCGAGCUUGGUCCUGAGGGAAUGGUCACCUUCCGGUUGCCCAUCCUCCGAAAUCCAACGGCGGACAACCCCCGGUGGAGCUGCUAGCGUGGUGAGGAAUACUUUCGCCAGUGGUCUCCGAGGGACAGUCCUGCUGGUUGAACCCCCAACGGUUGACCUCGGAUCAGGUAGGGAA